rnacentral:rRNA from 1 species
UUCCAGACUCCUACGGGAGGCAGCAGUGAGGAAUAUUGGUCAAUGGACGGGAGCCUGAACCAGCCAAGUCGCGUGAGGGAUGACGGUCCUACGGAUUGUAAACCUCUUUUGCCGGGGAGCAAGCGUGCGUUCGUGAACGCGCGUCGAGAGUACCCGGAGAAAAAGCAUCGGCUAACUCCGUGCCAGCAGCCGCGGUAAUACGGAGGAUGCGAGCGUUAUCCGGAUUUAUUGGGUUUAAAGGGUGCGCAGGCGGAGGUGCAAGUCAGCGGUCAAAUUGCGGGGCUCAACCCCGUCGUGCCGUUGAAACUGGCUGUCUUGAGAUGUCGAGAGGUAUGCGGAAUGCGCAGUGUAGCGGUGAAAUGCUUAGAUAUUGCGCAGAACUCCGAUUGCGAAGGCAGCAUACCGGCGGCGAUCUGACGCUGAGGCACGAAAGCGUGGGUAUCGAACAGGAUUAGAUACCCCGGUACC